AAAGUACUCCCUCCGUUCGGAAUUACUUGUCGUAGAAAUGGUUGUAUCUAGACGUAUUUUAGUUCUAGAUACAUCCAUUUUCGAGACAAGUAAUUCCGAACGGAGGGAGUAGUAG
rnacentral:pre_miRNA from 1 species